CCCUUAGAUGUUCUGGGCCGCACGCGUGCUACACUGACCGGCGCAACAAGUUUCUUUCCUUGGCUCGAUAGGCCUGGGUAAUCUUUGAACGCCGGUCGUGAUGGGGAUAGAUCCUUGCAAUUUUUGAUCUUCAACGAGGAAUUCCUAGUAAAUGCGAGUCAUCAUCUCGCGUUGAUUACGUCCCUGCCCUUUGUACACACCGCCCGUCGCACCUACCGAUUGAAUGGUCCGGUGAAGCCUCGGGAUUGCGAAUGCUUCGUGCGGACGCGAGAACUUGGCUAAACCUUAUCAUUUAGAGGAAGGUGAAGUCGUAACA
rnacentral:rRNA from 1 species